UACGGAGGGUGCAAGCGUUAUCCGGAUUCACUGGGUUUAAAGGGUGCGUAGGCGGACAGGUAAGUCAGUGGUGAAAUCUCCGAGCUCAACUCGGAAACUGCCGUUGAUACUAUUUGUCUUGAAUGUUGUGGAGGUAAGCGGAAUAUGUCAUGUAGCGGUGAAAUGCUUAGAUAUGACAUAGAACACCAAUUGCGAAGGCAGCUUACUACACAAUUAUUGACGCUGAGGCACGAAAGCGUGGGGAUCAAACAGG
rnacentral:rRNA from 1 species